UUUGGGUGAAUGGUAUUCAGUACAAGGGACAAGUUUGCCUACCUGUGUGUGGAUGGUGUUCAGCACCAAGGACAGGCAUGCUCGCUU
rnacentral:pre_miRNA from 1 species